CUACGGAGGGUACAAGCGUUAUUCGGAAUCACUGGGCGUAAAGGACGCGUAGGCGGGUUGGCAAGUCAGAUGUGAAAUCCUACAGCUUAACUGUAGAACUGCAUUUGAAACUGCUAACCUAGAGUAUGGGAGGGGGAGAUGGAAUUAGUGGUGUAGGGGUAAAAUCCGUAGAUAUCACUAGGAAUACCGAAAGCGAAGGCGAUCUCCUGGAACAUAACUGACGCUAAGGCGUGAAAGCGUGGGGAGCAAACAGGAUUAGAAACCCCAGUAGUCC
rnacentral:rRNA from 1 species